AUGAACGCUGGCGGCGUGCCUAAUACAUGCAAGUCGAGCGAACGGACGAGAAGCUUGCUUCUCUGAUGUUAGCGGCGGACGGGUGAGUAACACGUGGAUAACCUACCUAUAAGACUGGGAUAACUUCGGGAAACCGGAGCUAAUACCGGAUAAUAUUUUGAACCGCAUGGUUCAAAAGUGAAAGACGGUCUUGCUGUCACUUAUAGAUGGAUCCGCGCUGCAUUAGCUAGUUGGUAAGGUAACGGCUUACCAAGGCAACGAUGCAUAGCCGACCUGAGAGGGUGAUCGGCCACACUGGAACUGAGACACGGUCCAGACUCCUACGGGAGGCAGCAGUAGGGAAUCUUCCGCAAUGAGCGAAAGCCUGACGGAGCAACGCCGCGUGAGUGAUGAAGGUCUUCGGAUCGUAAAACUCUGUUAUUAGGGAAGAACAUAUGUGUAAGUAACUGUGCACAUCUUGACGGUACCUAAUCAGAAAGCCACGGCUAACUACGUG
rnacentral:rRNA from 1 species